rnacentral:rRNA from 1 species
AUUGAACGCUGGCGGUAUGCUUAACACAUGCAAGUCGAACGGUAACGGGCCUUCGGGUGCCGACGAGUGGCGAACGGGUGAGUAAUGUAUCGGAACGUACCUUUCAGUGGGGGAUAACGUAGCGAAAGUUACGCUAAUACCGCAUAUUCUGUGAGCAGGAAAGCAGGGGAUCGCAAGACCUUGCGCUGAUUGAGCGGCCGAUAUCAGAUUAGCUAGUUGGUGAGGUAAAGGCUCACCAAGGCGACGAUCUGUAGCGGGUCUGAGAGGAUGAUCCGCCACACUGGAACUGAGACACGGUCCAGACUCCUACGGGAGGCAGCAGUGGGGAAUUUUGGACAAUGGGGGCAACCCUGAUCCAGCCAUGCCGCGUGAGUGAAGAAGGCCUUCGGGUUGUAAAGCUCUUUCGGCCGGGAAGAAAUCGUAUGGGUUAAUACCCUGUGCGGAUGACGGUACCGGCAUAAGAAGCACCGGCUAACUACGUGCCAGCCGCCGCCGUAACAC